UUGGCCGUCCAUACUCACGUA
rnacentral:piRNA from 1 species